UAUAUUGUAUCAUCUAGUUGGUGAGGUAAUGGCUCACCAAGGCUAUGACGCAUAACUGGUCUGAGAGGAUGAACAGUCACACUGGAACUGAGACACGGACCAGACUCCUACGGGAGGCAGCAGUAGGGAAUAUUGCUCAAUGGGGGAAACCCUGAAGCAGCAACGCCGCGUGGAGGAUGACACUUUUCGGAGCGUAAACUCCUUUUGUUAGGGAAGAACAAUGACGGGACCUAACGAAUAAGCACCGGCUAACUCCGAGCCAGCAGCCGCGGUAAUACGGAGGGUGCAAGCGUUACUCGGAAACACUGGGCGAAAAGGACGCGUAGGCGGAUUAUCAAGUCUCUUGGAGAAUCCUAUGGUUUAACCAUAGAACUGCUUGGGAAACUGAUUAUCUAGAGUGAGGGAGAGGCAGAUGGAAUUGGUGGUGUAGGGGUAAAAUCCGUAGAGAUCACCAGGAAUACCCAUUGCGAAGGCGAUCUGCUGGAACUCAACUGACGCUAAUGCGUGAAAGCGUGGGGAGCAAACAGGAUUAGAUACCCUGGUAGUCCACGCCCUGAACGAUGUAUACUAGUUGUUGCUAAGCUAGUCUUGGCAGUAAUGCACCUAACGGAUUAAGUAUACCGCCUGGGGAGUACGGUCGCAAGAUUAAAACUCAAAGGAAUAGACGGGGACCCGCACAAGCGGUGGAGCAUGUGGUUUAAUUCGAAGAUACGCGAAGAACCUUACCCGGACUUGAUAUCUAACAAAUCAUCUAGAGAUAGAAGAGUGUCUGCUUGCAGAAAUGUUAAGACAGGUGCUGCACGGCUGUCGUCAGCUCGUGUCGUGAGAUGUUGGGUUAAGUCCCGCAACGAGCGCAACCCACGUCAUUAGUUGCUAACAGCUCGGCUGAGCACUCUAAUGAGACUGCCUUCGUAAGGAGGAGGAAGGUGUGGACGACGUCAAGUCAUCAUGGCCCUUAUGUCCGGGGCGACACACGUGCUACAAUGGCAUAUACAAUGAGAAGCAAUAUCGCGAGAUGGAGCAAAUCUAUAAAAUAUGUCCCAGUUCGGAUUGGAGUCUGCAACUCGACUCCAUGAAGCCGGAAUCGCUAGUAAUCGUAGAUCAGCCAUGCUACGGUGAAUACGUUCCCGGGUCUUGUACUCACCGCCCGUCACACCAUGGGAGUUGAUUUCACUCGAAGCCGGAAUACUAAAUUAGUUACCGUCCACAGUGGAAUCAGAGACUGGGGU
rnacentral:rRNA from 1 species